rnacentral:sRNA from 1 species
UCGGGUUCGAUGUACGUUGAGGAUAGCC